rnacentral:sRNA from 1 species
GCCAGGCAUGGUGGUACACACCUGUAAUCCCAGCAGCUCUGGAGGCUGAGGCAGGAGGAUCAUGAGUUCAAAGCCAACUUCAGCAUGGUGAGGUGCUUAGCAACUGAGUGAGAUCCUGUCUCUA